rnacentral:rRNA from 1 species
UACACUCCUGCGGGAGGCAGCAGUGGGGAAUUUUGGACAAUGGGCGAAAGCCUGAUCCAGCAAUGCCGCGUGUGUGAAGAAGGCCUUCGGGUUGUAAAGCACUUUUGUCCGGAAAGAAAUCCUUGGCUCUAAUACAGUCGGGGGAUGACGGUACCGGAAGAAUAAGCACCGGCUAACUACGUGCCAGCAGCCGCGGUAAUACGUAGGGUGCGAGCGUUAAUCGGAAUUACUGGGCGUAAAGCGUGCGCAGGCGGUUUGCUAAGACCGAUGUGAAAUCCCCGGGCUCAACCUGGGAACUGCAUUGGUGACUGGCAGGCUAGAGUAUGGCAGAGGGGGGUAGAAUUCCACGUGUAGCAGUGAAAUGCGUAGAGAUGUGGAGGAAUACCGAUGGCGAAGGCAGCCCCCUGGGCCAAUACUGACGCUCAUGCACGAAAGCGUGGGGAGCAAACAGGAUUAGAUACCCUAGUAGUCCC